rnacentral:sRNA from 1 species
GUGUUCCGCGCUCGCGUAGUCUCUAACGAUUCUUCCGCGUAGCCCUCAAUGAUUCCCCCGCCCCACGUUCCGCGCUCGCGUAGCUUCUAACGAUUCUUACGCGUACCCCUUAAUGUUCUUCCGCUCCGCGCUCCACUGUGGAGCGGCUUCUGAUAUUCUUCCGCCCCGAACUUUCCCCUAUAAGAACCCCCUUCGUACGACCUUUUCUUCUGAUUUCUUUUCUCUUUCUUUCCUUAAUCAAUUCGUAAUCUGUAAUUAGGAUAGUACCAAAUCGUUAAUCGAAGUACGCCCGUUACAGUAUGCUGAUUCAGUUGACAUACUCUCAGCUGCAGAUAUGCACUUUUUUUCUCUCUUCUCACUGCUCUUUCUAUUUUUCUUCACUUCUUUUCUCUUAUAAUCUUCUUCAGUGCUCUCUUCUCUCUCUCUUCUCAGAUUUGUGCUGGGUCACAUAACUGCAAGAUGUCACAGAGAACACAGUCUUUUCUUCACUCUUUUCUUUAUUUUUCUUUUCAAAACACUUACUUUUCCUCUUUUUUUUUGUCUAUCUCAUUUGUUUUUUCUCUGCUGUUAGAAGCACAGACAGUUCUUGAAUCAACUGAGAAAGUUAUUCCUCUCCAUUCACUGUAA